GCCCUCGUAGCUCAACGGAUAGAGCAGCUCCGUCCUAAGGAGAAGAUAGGAGUUCGAUUCUUCUCGAGGGCACCA
rnacentral:tRNA from 1 species